rnacentral:rRNA from 1 species
CCUACGGGUGGCAGCAGUGAGGAAUAUUGGUCAAUGGACGAGAGUCUGAACCAGCCAAGUAGCGUGAAGGAUGACUGCCCUAUGGGUUGUACACUUCUUUUAUAAAGGAAUAAAACGAGGCACGUGUGCCUUUUGCAUGUACUUUAUGAAUAAGGAUCGGCUAACUCCGUGCCAGCAGCCGCGGUAAUACGGAGGAUCCGAGCGUUAUCCGGAUUUAUUGGGUUUAAAGGGAGCGUAGAUGGGUUGUUAAGUCAGUUGUGAAAGUUUGCGGCUCAACCGUAAAAUUGCAAUUGAUACUGGCAGUCUUGAGUACAGUUGAGGUAGGCGGAAUUCGUGGUGUAGCGGUGAAAUGCUUAGAUAUCACGAAGAACCCCGAUUGCGAAGGCAGCUUACUAAACUGUGACUGACAUUGAUGCUCGAAAGUGUGGGUAUCAAACAGGAUUAGAUACCCCAGUAGUC